CUGAAGUGGUCAGAAACUCUUCCAUGGUCAGCUGUAGCUCACAGGAGGCAGACUGUGAAACUCAUCACUGUGAUCAAGGAUGCUGCAGAAGGUGGAGUUUGGAAGUUCAAAGCCCAAACCCAUGGCCUUCUUGUCAUGGGAUAACCUGGAAUCUCUAAUGGCAGGCAUUUGCUGAACCUUCAUGAGUGCCUCCUGUGGGUGCUGGGCCAGUUUCUGAAUUAGAUGAGAACUGUGCUGUUAGAGAGUUCCUAGACUUGGUGGAGCAUACUAAAUCUUCUGAAGGCAGAAAGCACCAGGCAUGAGGGAUCAGCUGUGUGCUGCGUCGUCUACAGAAAGCCACAGGGAUUUUUUCAUAGUUGCAUCUUAAAAUGUAUGUGGCUCUUGGGAUCUGAAGAAAAGAGAAGACUGGAGAAGACAUGAAGACUUCUGACAACACACCAGUGUCAACGCCAUUCAUAGUCUGUUGACUUGAUUGCAGAGCCCUGAUACUAUCACAAGGGAAGCUGAGAGGAGUACGGGACAUGGAAUGUUUGGUCUUUGUCAAUCACUGCUUUUAUCUGCUGGCUCCAAAAUAGCAAAUAUCCAAGGAAAUACCAGAUCUUAAGCUCUAUUCUCGCCAUUUUUGAACAUGAAAUCCUUGCUAAGUCUGUGCAUAAUGGGCUGUAGUAACACAGUCUACUGAGAAGAAAAGAAAAAGGGGUAAAGAGAUGAAGCAAAGAUAAAAGCUGCCACUAGGACAAACCCUACCCUAGCUUCCUGUCAGUUGGCUCACUCCUUAAGCAGUGAACAGGAUAAUCACCACACCUGACUUGGCUGGGUCAGUUUCCACGGAUGAACAUUGUAUAUACCAUCCCACCCACCAAGGACUAGAACCACAGACUCACCCUGAGGGAGAGGCAGCCUGCAGCCAAUCGGAAGAAAAAUGGAUGUUUGCACACACUGGCAAGAUUGAAGGAAGAGCAGUCACAGGACGGGGUUCUGACAAUGGAUCAGCGCCAUGUGCCCAGUGGAAGUUCUGCUUCCUGAAGGGAAAGUGUACAGGAGGCUGGGCUUUGCCCAGUGCACCCCCUUUCUUCCUGAUGUGCGAGAGGAGCAACCAUUCUGUGACCAUGAGAUCUCACUGUACAGCCCUGCAUGUUCUGGAACUUACUAUGUAGACCAGACUGUUCUCAAAUUCAGAGAGAUCUGCCUACUCUGCCUCCCAUGUGCUUGGAUUAAAGGUAUGUAUCACCAGGCUCCAUGUGUAUAACUGUUUAUCUCCAUGUAUAUAUAUUGCAUGCCACUGAAGUGCCUGGUGCCCCUGGGGUCCAGAAAAGCACGUUAGGCCCCUUGGAACUGGAGUUACAAACAGCUGUUAACCAUCUCUCCAGCCAGAGCUGAUCUUUACUAGUCCAGUUACUGGUUAACAGACACAACAUUCAGAUUCCAGAGACCUGAAAGACAGCAGCAGCAGGUACGUGACAGGGGAGGGACAGCUCUCAGGAGAGCUGGAAACAAAAUGUUAAUAAAAGACAAUCAAGAAAUGUAAGUUUGCUUCUGAGACCAAGUGGCUAGAGAGGGCACAAAAGGCCCUGGGAUUGGGGCAGGAUGGAAAGAAGAUAUGCCAGGGACAGGAGCACAGCUUGUGGUGGGCAAAGUUUGAAUGGGUUGGGCCUCUUAGGCACAGCCAGGAAAGGGGAACAGCUUGUAAGAGGAUUCUAACAGCUCUGGACUACAGGUGGCAGUUUCCAGCAAAGACAUGGGGUCUCCAUAGGACAGGCUGAGAUCACUGAUGGAAUUUUUUAAGUGUGAGGUGUGCCGUCCCAGGGGAAUAAAAUCUAUGGCCCCUCCCUGGGUGACAGAAGUGGCUGACGAUGGGCAGUAUGGAGAGAUGGAUGAGGAGCAAGAGACUUCCCAGGGCCUGGAGCCCCCCAAGCCCAGAGCACAGACAGGUUUGAGAAGAAAAGGGCAGUUAAGAGUGCCAAACGCAAUGGAGUUGUCAAAGAGGAUGAGGAAUGAAAAUUAGCCUAUGGAUUUGGCAAUUAGGAUGUCAGUUUUUCUACUAAAACGACUCCCACUGAGGUCACUAAUGAAGCCAGAGAAAUAGAAUGAUUUGCCCAAAGUGGCAUUGUUAGAAAUGAGUCUAUCGUUAGAAAUCAAGGCUCCCGCCUCCCUGCUAAGUGCCCUUUCUCUUUCAUUACACAUACUUUUAGCCUGCUCCAAAUCACGAAACCCGGCUGCUCAUUUCGGAAGACCAGCUUUGGGGUCGUCUGCCAUCAGAUGCAAACAACUUCGAGCUGUCUUGAUCGAUAAGAUGUCCCUAAAUAAGUGUCAUUUUGUUCCCAGAUUAAAGCAUCUCCUCCACAGAUAUUUGAUGCUGCACAGAGGCGGGGAAUGGAACCAAGGCGCGCAUGUUGCCAUGUCUUGCUUGCUAAUCCAGCACACUGAUACAUCUCCUAGCCUGGGAGUGCUUUUUUUUUAUCGGAGGAAACAAAGAACCUUUCCAGACACUCCUGAGGAGACUUGAACCUGGCCGUGGGUCUGUACCAAUCACCACAGGGUACACAGCCUGGGCAGGUGACAGUCUAGACAGAAAUUCUGAUUCUGGGUCCAUAUCAAACCACUGAGCUUGAUUUUUCUUGGGGGGGGUUGUUUUUGUUUUUGUUUUUGUUUUUGUUUUGAAAAGCCAGUCUCAGCUGCAGGGUAAUCCAUUUUGCAAUUCUUAAAGUUGAGACUGAGCUUCAUGUUCUCCCACAAAAACACAGGUCAGAAAGGUCAGAAAUCGAGUGUCAAAGGUGUCACAAUUGCAGUGUAGUUAACCUGCCUCCCCCCUAGAUGUUCAUACCCAUCACUACCAAGGCUAGAGUACUGCAUGCACUGACAGAAAGAAAAAAAAAACAAAAAGACUAAAAAACCCCUUUGUACUUGAGAACAGGAGAGUGAAACACAGAGACACCUCAGGGCUGUGAAACACUCCAGUAGCCACCUCCCGUCCCAGGCUGACAGGGGGUGAGUCAGCAGAUCAGAUACAUUGCUGGCAGUUGGCAGAACAUCCUGAUAGAUUGGCCAUGGGCACUGAAUAAAGGGUGUGAGUGUGAAGAGCCUGGGAAGACGACACUGUUGUGAGUUGCUAUUUCUUCUCUUCAAACAAACUCUGUUGGUGUGUGCCCAGUACAGAAGCCACUACAUAUCUGGAGACAAUUUUUUUUCUUAGUGGACAGGGUAGCCUGCACUUCUGACUGAGGCAAGGAAGUAGCUACUAUUUCCUACCUCUCAGAAGAGGGAACAUAAAGAAGGAGAUGAAGCCAAAAUAAACAGAUGGCUGGAUCAGGUGGGGGAUGCUGUCGUGAGGCACCACACAGGUAUCUCAGACCCCAGGCAACCACACAGAGCCAUUAAGAGGAGCCAAAACUCAGCAGAGAGUUCUAGAACCCCAGGAAACAGCGUGUGCCCUGCCUGAGGGAGGUCGCGUUGGAAUUGUCACUGAUCCAACGGUAGUGAAGUUUGCACAGAGCAGGGCAACCCAGCAAGCUAGCAAUCCUGGACACCAGGAGGACUGGAAAGGAAGGGGAAAAAAGGGUAGAAGUGGGAAGAAGGGUGUGUUAGCUGAGGCAGCAUAAAUUAAGAGUCCCUAAUGGCUGGAUGGGUGGUGGCAUAGCAGAGAGGGUUCUGUGCCCAUUGACAGUUGGUUUCCACAAUCACAUCAGAGCCAUUGAGGCAGCUCUUUGGACAUUAUUUACUGAGCACAUUUGGGUGUUAGAGACCCACUUCUAGAAAUCUCUGGUCCAGGGAAGAGAUUAUUUAGAAGAGAGAAAUGUCACGAUGACACGAUAAAUACGAACCAUGUCCUGAAAGAUGACUAGGCAGAGCUGCUAGACAGGGAUUCCAAGAACACUUAAGUUGGAUGGUGAAGCUCUAAAUGCAUUUACCAGAUCAAGAUGCAAAAUUUGUAUCAUGAGCCUGUUGUUGGGUAAACUGGGUGGUUGUAGUUAAGACUCUGGCUGCAAAGCAGAGACGUUUAGUUAAAGCAGCAAAGCUUCAGGGCACAUUACCAAUAAAGUGCAGCAGAUGAUUUUACAGAAGAGUGAGAGGCUCUGAGAGUACCAUUGGGCUCCCUGGAGACGGACGCUAGGAAAUCACUAAUGUCCCACAUGGCACAAGGACUCUCCUCUUCUUGAGACAAGUCUCAACCUGUAACCUAAGAUGGUCUGAAUCUUACUGUGUAGUUCAGGUUCGCCACAAGCCCACAGCAAGUCUUCUGCUCCAGCUACUCAAGCGCUAGAGUUAUAGGAAAGGAGCACCAUCCUGGCUCUCGUCCCUUUCUUUCUGAAGUUCUGGCUUGCUCUGAUAUCAGCUUCAGGACUAGUUCUCUCUGACCUUCUGAUUUAAGAGCCCGAAGAUGCCUGGGUGUGCCUCAGCCCGUCUCUGUGUUCUGAUCCCAAAUUCUCAAGACAGAUCACUGGAUCCAUGUCUAUCAGGGCAACGAUAUCUAAUCGGUAGAUCGUUGGCUGUAGCUCAAGUGGGGUAAGUACAGAUGGUUCAUAAUGUCAUUCUUCAAUGUGUGAUAGAGUAUGGGUAGAAAAUGGAGACUGGCUUAUUUGCUGCUGUGAGCUUCCUUCUGUGGUAGAUCUUCAUCAUAAGUGCUCUGGAUGGACUUGCAAUGGCUUGAUGAUCCCAUUGGCAUUGGUAUAAGCAUUUAGCUCGCCAUCAAAAAUACUUUGAUAAAAAUUAUCUUAUUGUGGAUCACUCUUCACAAGAAUUUAAGCAAUAUUAUUAAGGAUUAAUACUAUAAUCAUGUAUAUUGUUGAACUCGCAUAAUAUCUGGUAAAUACAUAACUGGAUACAGGUUGGCGAACUGUUGAAUCAUCUGUCACCUUCAUUCUCAAUUUUCCAUUCUACAACCAUAAGCAUGUUGAGAAACAGACAUGCUGGGAGAUGCUGUGUUGGCUGACAACUGAUAGCAUAGUAUCUAUAGUCUACUGCUCUAUAAUGAAGUUCAGAAUCCAGAAUCCAAAUGGAGUCAUAAGUCAUGAGCAUCGUGGGACAGCAUCAUUUCUGAUUCAAGAUCUUACAACACAAAUGCCAAUUUGGACUAAAUGGCUUAACCAGUAGAAAUAUAUUCCUCCUAGAGCUGGAGAAGUGGAGGUGCCAGCAUGCCUGGUAGGAAUCCACUUUCUGGCUUACACAGGCUAGUCUUCUGAUGUUAUCCCCUAAUGGCAAAGAGCAGAGGGAGAGAGUGAACAAGCCCUCUAAUGGCUUUUUAUGAGGCCACUAACCCCAUUCAUGAGGGAUCUAUCCACAUGAUCAGUUAUUUACCUCUUAAUAUCAUCAUACCAAGGCUUAGGGUUUUAAGAUGCUAACCUGCAGAUAUAGGGUGCAAAUAAAAUCAAUACAAAAACUAUAAGCACACUUGAGUAUGUCAGUUCAAACUCUCUUUACAGAAGGUAUUCAGGAGCCCCCUGUGGAGACCUUAUCACAGUGAUAGAUAGACUAAGUAGAUGAUUGUAGAUGAUUGUUAUCUCGAUGGCAAAGAGGCCAAUAGAGCUUGAGUGUGCUCACCCAAUCCACAGGGGCUGCUGUCUGAGAACAGAGAAGGGGAACUGCAAGCUACUGGAAAAGCAGGGCAGGGCACAGGCUGGAAAGACAGGGACUUCUUCCCAACUAUGGUGUGGCUCUGAGACAUUGAAAUCUUCAGGCUGGGCCAGGGCAGGGCAGGUAUCUGACAACUGUUAGGUGAUGGACUCAAACAAUGUGACAAUGCCCAGCAGAGAAAGUGGCAGUGCCCAGCAUUGACAACAGUGCCCAGUGAACACAGAGGCACCUGGAAUAUAAACCCUGGCUAAGGAUCCUGGCAGGACACCACCAUUACAUUGACAGGUCAUACUAGUUGUGCUAGUUAUUUUUACGUCAAUCUGAUGCAAGCUAUAGUCAUCUGAGAGGAGGGAAUCUCAACUGAGAAAAUACCUUCAUAAGAUCAGGAUGCAAUCAAGUCUGUGGGGCAUUUUCAUAAUUAGUAAUUGAUAGUGGGGACAGGGGUAAACCCAUUGUGGGUGGGCCAUUCCUGGGAUGGUGGUUCUUGGUGCUAUAAGAAAGCAACAUUCCUCCAUUGACUUCUGCCUCAGCUCCUGCAACCAGGUUCCUGCCUGUCCUGAGUUCUUUUCCUAACUGCCUUUAUGAUGAACUGUGAUGUUGAUGUGUAAGACAAAUACAUUCUUCCAUCCCCAGGUUGCUUUGGUCAUGGUCUUCCAUCAUAGCAAUGAUAACCAUAACUAGGAACAUAGUAGGAAUACAGGCUUUAUACCUUUGGGGUCCAUUGACCCACCCAUAGAAGUGCUUGAGAAGGGUUGACGUCUACCUGUAAAUUAUUUUACUUACACUGAUAACAAUUGAGAUUGUGGAAACUUGGUGGCACCUAGCUCUCUAUGUUUACUUAUAGUCCAAUGUCAGGAAGUACUGCUCAGCUUAUGGACCACAUUCUAUUUCCAUCCUUAAAACUCAUAUGCUGUAUUCCUAACUCCUCAUACCACAAAAUGUUAUAGUGUUUGGAGACAGAGCCCUUUAAGAGAUGAUGAAGUUAAAAAGAAAACUAUAAGGAAGUGCAAUGUGACUGAUGUAAGAACAGAAAAAAAAUGGGGCUUGGGGCAUGGCUCUGUUGGUAAUGUCUGCUUUGCAAGAAUGACUUCAGCCCCCAGAACAUAUGCUAAGAGCUGAGUGUGGAGACUCCCUCUUGGAAUCAGGCAGCCAGAGACAGGUGGCCCCAAGGACUCAUUGACCAACCAACUAGUGUGACUGGUACCACUCCAGACCAUUUACAGAGCCUGUCUUAAAUAAGGUCAACAACAUUUUACCAUAUUUGGCAAGCCAUCAGAGGUUGAAAAGACUUACAGCCUUUUCACAUGUCACCAUCAAGGACAGCACAUGAUGGAAGUGUGCAAGGCUGGGCUAUUAAAAGAAAACCACACGGAUCUCAUCCUCUCUGCAUCCCUUCAGUCGCCCCAGGAAAGACAGAAGCUGCAUCUUAAGGAUUCUUUGAACAGCAGAAGGAAUGAAACCUGGACUCUGCUUUAACAACUCAAAAACAAAACAAUCAACUAAAACUGGAUUAAAGACUCUAAGACUGGGAACUAUGUGUGCAUGUCUCCACACACAUGUACCCCCUCUACAUAUGUACCCUGCCCCCCCCUCCGGAGAACUUGGGAUGUUCCUGCAUGGAGAAAGACUGAAUGUGUGAAGGAGCAACAAUGUGUGGGGAGGUGGGGACAUACGCUGGAGCAGACAUCAAUUUCCCAGGAGUGGAGAGAAGACAUAUUGAAAGAAAUCAGGAUCGUGUCAGCACAGGGAGAUUCCAGAGGCAGAAGUCUCGGGUUUCAGUUAUAACAGCGACUCAGGAGCCUGUCUGUGACUUCAGGAUAUUGAUCUGAAAACCAUGCACAGCUCUGCACAUGUUCAGAGAAGAUGACAUGGAAUUGAAGUCUGAGGCAAGAGGGGAGAUCUGAGAGAGUGUGUAACAGAAAGAGGGAAGCAAGCUUCUGACACAAAGGAAGUCUAAAAAAACAAUAUGUAAACUAUACUGUGUUGUCAAACUUCUGCCUCUGGAUGGUUUUAUCAAGAGCAUUUUCUUUUUAAAAG